rnacentral:rRNA from 1 species
GAUGAACGCUGGCGGCGUGCCUAAUACAUGCAAGUCGAGCGAACGGACGAGAAGCUUGCUUCUCUGAUGUUAGCGGCGGACGGGUGAGUAACACGUGGAUAACCUACCUAUAAGACUGGGAUAACUUCGGGAAACCGGAGCUAAUACCGGAUAAUAUUUUGAACCGCAUGGUUCAAAAGUGAAAGACGGUCUUGCUGUCACUUAUAGAUGGAUCCGCGCUGCAUUAGCUAGUUGGUAAGGUAACGGCUUACCAAGGCAACGAUGCAUAGCCGACCUGAGAGGGUGAUCGGCCACACUGGAACUGAGACACGGUCCAGACUCCUACGGGAGGCAGCAGUAGGGAAUCUUCCGCAAAGGGCGAUAGCCUGACGGAGCAACGCCGCGUGAGUGAUGAAGGUCUUCGGAUCGUAAAACUCUGUUAUUAGGGAAGAACAUAUGUGUAAGUAACUGUGCACAUCUUGACGGUACCUAAUCAGAAAGCCACGGCUAACUACGUG